CGGACUAACAUGCCACCGGGUCCUUUCAUCUCUCCCGACCCAAAGGUAAUCGCCUUACUCGACGGUAAGAGUUUCCCUGUUCUUUUCGAUGUGUCCAAGAUUGAAAAAAAAGACGUUUUCACCGGUACUUACAUGCCCUCAACCGACCUCACCGGCGGCUACCGGAUCCUGUCUUAUCUCGACCCUUCCGAGCCAAAACACGCCAAGCUCAAACAACUUAUCUUUUUUCUCCUCAAGUCUAGCGCAAAACGAGUGAUACCUGAGUUUGAAGCUUGUUACACCGAGUUAUACGAUUUGUUAGACAAAGAACUUGCCGAGAAAGGCAAAAGC
rnacentral:lncRNA from 1 species